AGGGUUUUUAUUUUAUACUUUAAAUCUUGAAUUUAUUUUUUAAAUGUUUAUAUUAUUUGAAUGUUUUAUUCAAAUAAUAUAAAAAAUAAUAUAUAUAUUGACAUGGAUUAAACAAAGAUAUAUAUUAUUYUAUGUUGUAUAAACAAAUUGGCAAAAUAGAGAUGGAAGAUAAAAAUAUGGUCAAAGUAAUAAGAGUCUAUGGUGAAUGCCUAGGAGCUUUAAGGCGAAGAAGGUCGUGGUAAGCUGCGAAAAGCUUGGGGGAAAAGCAAACAUUUAUUGAUCCCAAGAUUACCGAAUGGAGUAAUCCAGCUAGCAAGAUGCUAGCU
rnacentral:misc_RNA from 1 species